AGGGACAGGUGUGACAGCAAAGCCUCGCCGUGCUCCUCCAGGCCGCUGGCCUCGUGCGUCAGGUAUGAACCUGGGACAGGUGAGACAGGUGAGACAGGUAAAGGGACAGAACACACAGGGACAGGUGUGACAGCAAAGCCUCGCCGUGCUCCUCCAGCCCGCUGGCCUCGUGGGUCAGGUAUGAACCUGGGACAGGUGAGACAGGACAGGUGGGACAGGUGAGACAGGGACAG